UCCUUCACAUCUCUACAGAAACAAUCAUAAUCAGCACCAAGCCAAUUCAACGUGUUGAAAACAUCAUUGGCAAAAUCAACUAUGUCCUCGACAUUACCAGUCGUCUCAGAAAUAAGCUCGGAUACCAACAUAGACUUGACUUGAGUGAUCAUCAUCUUCAAUUUCUCAAGCAUCUCGGGUUUAUGAUUAGUUCUUGGAGAUUGCUUCAGUAGCGAUCUAUAUGGAUUUUUGGUGGGAAGUUUUAGCUGGUGCAAAAUAUUGAUUUCAGGAUAUAUUUUGUGCUUGCUUUUUCCAAGUAUGUUAAGGCUAAGCUCUUCCUUUAUUUUGGUAUGAUCUCGUUAUUAUGCAAGUUUGAUAACGAGUCAUAAAGAAAAAUUUAUAUCUCAGAAUUUACGUAUAUGUUUCUAAUUUCACAAGUUAUGUAUAUUUUUCUUGCCUUGUAUGUUACAAUAUUCUCAUUAUCAGUAUUUCAUAUUCAAUUGAGCAUUUCUUUCUUUCAGUCAGGAGAGCAGAGAGUCUAUGUCUAUAUAUACAGUAUUAUAGUAUUUUUAUUACCAUCGAGCUAUAUUCGAUGGGCAGGCUCCUAUUGGGCAACCUCUGAUCAGAUGGUAAAUUAUAUACCAAGCCUACUAUGGCCGAGCACUUAUGAGCGAGCCCAGUUGGUCGAGAUAUAGAGCCUAGUAUGGCCGAGCGCUUAUGAGCGAGCCUACUAUGGCAGAGCAGUUAUAUAUAUAUAUAUACACACACACAGAGCCUUAUAGGGCCGAACAACUAUUUUACUAACUAUAUUGAGUGAGUUGAGUCGGUAUCAGCAAGUAAGCAUAUCUUCAGAUUAUUUUUAACUUCCAGCUACAUGCAGUUAUUAUAUUAUCAGUUCAGUUUCACCUUUCAGUAUAUUGCCUUACAUACUCGGUACAUUAUUUCGUACUGACGUCCCUUUUGUCUGGGGACGCUGCGUUUCAUGCCCAGGUACAAACAAUUAGUUUGACGAGCCCUCAUUGUAAGCGAGAUUGGCAUUCAGUGAAGGGUUGGUAAGACUCCACCUCAUUCGGAGUGCAGCCGAGUCUGUGAGUCAUCGUGUCUGUAUUUUACUACACACUUAUGGGUCAGCCGGUACCCUAUCCCAUUUUAUGUCAAAUAAUCUUAGAGGCUUUGUAGAUACAGAAGUUCAUUUUGUAC
rnacentral:lncRNA from 1 species